AACGAACGCUGGCGGCAUGCCUAACACAUGCAAGUCGAACGAGACCUUCGGGUCUAGUGGCGCACGGGUGCGUAACGCGUGGGAACCUGCCCUUAGGUUCGGAAUAACUCCCCGAAAGGGGUGCUAAUACCGGAUAAUGUCUUCUGACCAAAGAUUUAUCGCCCUUGGAUGGGCCCGCGUUGGUUUAGCCAGUUGGUAGGGUAAAAGCCUACCAAGGCGACGUUCCAUAGCUGGUCUGAGAGGAUGGGCAGCCACACUGGGACUGUGACACGGCCCAGAAUACUAGGGGAGGGAGCAGUGGGGAAUAUUGGAAAAUGGGGGGAAGGCUGAUCCAGCAAUGCCGCGUGAGUGAUGAAGGCCUUAGAGUAGUAAAGCUCUUUUACCCGGGAUGAUAAUGACGGUACCGGGAGAAUAAGCUCCGGCUAACUCCGUG
rnacentral:rRNA from 1 species